AACGAACGCUGGCGGCAUGCCUAACACAUGCAAGUCGAACGAGACCUUCGGGUCUAGUGGCGCACGGGUGCGUAACGCGUGGGAACCUGCCCUUAGGUUCGGAAUAACUCCCCGAAAGGGGUGCUAAUACCGGAUAAUGUCUUCGGACCAAAGAUUUAUCGCCUUUGGAUGGGCCCGCGUUGGAUUAGCUAGUUGGUAGGGUAAAAGCCUACCAAGGCGACGAUCCAUAGCUGGUCUGAGAGGAUGAUCAGCCACACUGGGACUGAGACACGGCCCAGACUCCUACGGGAGGCAGCAGUGGGGAAUAUUGGACAAUGGGCGAAAGCCUGAUCCAGCAAUGCCGCGUGAGUGAUGAAGGCCUUAGGGUUGUAAAGCUCUUUUACCCGGGAUGAUAAUGACAGUACCGGGAGAAUAAGCACCGGCUAACCCCGUG
rnacentral:rRNA from 1 species